UUUUCAUCAGACAAUCUGUGUGAGCACUGCANNNNNNNNNNNNNNNNNNNNUUUUCAUCAGACAAUCUGUGUGAGCACUGCAAAGUACGCUUCUUUAAGGUAAGGAGGUGAUCCAACCGCAGGUUCCCCUACGGUUACCUUGUUACGACUUCACCCCAGUCAUGAAUCACAAAGUGGUAAGCGCCCUCCCGAAGGUUAAGCUACCUACUUCUUUUGCAACCCACUCCCAUGGUGUGACGGGCGGUGUGUACAAGGCCCGGGAACGUAUUCACCGUGGCAUUCUGAUCCACGAUUACUAGCGAUUCCGACUUCAUGGAGUCGAGUUGCAGACUCCAAUCCGGACUACGACGCACUUUAUGAGGUCCGCUUGCUCUCGCGAGGUCGCUUCUCUUUGUAUGCGCCAUUGUAGCACGUGUGUAGCCCUGGUCGUAAGGGCCAUGAUGACUUGACGUCAUCCCCACCUUCCUCCAGUUUAUCACUGGCAGUCUCCUUUGAGUUCCCGGCCGGACCGCUGGCAACAAAGGAUAAGGGUUGCGCUCGUUGCGGGACUUAACCCAACAUUUCACAACACGAGCUGACGACAGCCAUGCAGCACCUGUCUCACGGUUCCCGAAGGCACAUUCUCAUCUCUGAAAACUUCCGUGGAUGUCAAGACCAGGUAAGGUUCUUCGCGUUGCAUCGAAUUAAACCACAUGCUCCACCGCUUGUGCGGGCCCCCGUCGUUAGCUCCGGAAGCCACGCCUCAAGGGCACAACCUCCAAGUAGACAUCGUUUACGGCGUGGACUACCAGGGUAUCUAAUCCUGUUUGCUCCCCACGCUUUCGCACCUGAGCGUCAGUCUUUGUCCAGGGGGCCGCCUUCGCCACCGGUAUUCCUCCAGAUCUCUACGCAUUUCACCGCUACACCUGGAAUUCUACCCCCCUCUACAAGACUCAAGCCUGCCAGUUUCGAAUGCAGUUCCCAGGUUGAGCCCGGGGAUUUCACAUCCGACUUGACAGACCGCCUGCGUGCGCUUUACGCCCAGUAAUUCCGAUUAACGCUUGCACCCUCCGUAUUACCGCGGCUGCUGGCACGGAGUUAGCCGGUGCUUCUUCUGCGGGUAACGUCAAUUGCUGCGGUUAUUAACCACAACACCUUCCUCCCCGCUGAAAGUACUUUACAACCCGAAGGCCUUCUUCAUACACGCGGCAUGGCUGCAUCAGGCUUGCGCCCAUUGUGCAAUAUUCCCCACUGCUGCCUCCCGUAGGAGUCUGGACCGUGUCUCAGUUCCAGUGUGGCUGGUCAUCCUCUCAGACCAGCUAGGGAUCGUCGCCUUGGUGAGCCGUUACCUCACCAACAAGCUAAUCCCAUCUGGGCACAUCUGAUGGCAAGAGGCCCGAAGGUCCCCCUCUUUGGUCUUGCGACGUUAUGCGGUAUUAGCCACCGUUUCCAGUAGUUAUCCCCCUCCAUCAGGCAGUUNNNNNNNNNNNNNNNNNNNNCCCGUCCGCCACUCGUCAGCAAAGCAGCAAGCUGCUUCCUGUUACCGUUCGACUUGCAUGUGUUAGGCCUGCCGCCAGCGUUCAAUCUGAGCCAUGAUCAAACUCUUCAAUUUAAAAGUUUGAUGCUCAAUGAAUUAAACUUCGUAAUGAAUUACGUGUUCACUCUUGAGACUUGGUAUUCAUUUUUC
rnacentral:rRNA from 1 species